UUCUUUGAAUUGCCCUAGCUCAUUCAGAUCAGAGAACCCUAAGCCCUCCACGCACGAAGAGACGAUUGCUCCUAACCCUAACCUUGUCUUCAUUGUGCCUCACCCCAACCCACUCUUCAUUGUGCCUCACGAAGAACCCCCUAAUCGGGAUGAAGAAUAUCAUAUCGAAGAACCUUAACCUCUCUUCAUUCUGCACUCCGCGAAGAACGUCGCCGGCGCGCAUGAUGCUUCCGUUGGCAAUCCCUCUUCUGGCACCCGUAACCCUCCUUUGAGCUUCGCGUGAUGGCCCCCUGAACAACCACCCCUGCUCUGUCUCUAUCAGCUCCAAUCACCGCUAUGGUGCCACUGCACCUUCACCUCCGUCGCCGCGCCUCUCGCCGGAUCCACCAGCUCUCCUCCGCUCGCGUCUCACGUCUCCGCCUCCGGCCGCCUGUGUCUUGCUCGCAUCUCUGUCUCUGCUUCGCUCGCGAUUCUAUCACGAGCUCGCCUCCACUGCUCAAGCGCUUACUCCCUCUCAUCGCACAAGGCUUCGACGUCUCAAACUUUUUCCCUCAAGUUUCACAUCCAUCUCUUUCUUUGUUGACCUUUAUUUAGGAGUGGAAAUUUAGAAUUAAGAUACAGGGAUUUUAGAAGAUGAAAUCUGUUCCUUUCUUUGUUUAAUUAUGUUCCAUUUUUUCUUGUUUUCUAGCUGUAUUUUGGUUCAGUAUUGUUAUGCUUGCCAUUUGUUUGAUGAAUUUCUUGAGAGAGAUGGAAAAAAGUGGAACUUGAUUUCUGUGUUUCCUAUUUCCAAUUCACAAGAUUUACGUAAUUUUCCUCUUGGAUUGCUUAUGAAAUUGGGUGUAAGCAGUUAGUUUUCUCAGAUUAUUAAUGCUGCACAAUUUCUAAACUACCAUUUUUCACAGUGGAGGAAAAAAACAUAUAGACGAGGUGGUUAUAAUCCUAUCAUAGGCUUUGAAAAUGAUGUCUACUUCAUUGCCAGCAUACUAUAUACUUCAUUGCGAAGUCAUCUUCCGGUAGGUUAGUAUUUUCAAUCCAGUCUGUCCACUUGUCUGAAGGAGAACUUGGGGGAACACAUUCCCUUAAUGCUUUGAGAUCACUCAAUUUAUAUCUUAUUUCGGCAAACUGUUGCUCAACUUUAGUUUUUCAAACAAUAAAAUAUUGACAAGUAAAAUGUGUGUAUGAAAUGCUAAACUGGGUUUAGAGAUUAAACAGGAUAAAUUCUUUUUUGCUUAUCCCAUGAAUAUUAUUGGAAAUAGAUGGUAUAUGAGGGGUAUGAAUGUCUUUGGCAUCUCCUCUGAUAAUAGCAGCGGGAGAACAACAGCCUGCAAACAACGAGGGAAGAGAAUCGAUGGAGGAGUGGGAAGGAGGGUAUCACAAAGAAUUAGAUCUAUGGGGCAGCGGUGAUGACGUUAGGCCAAAGAGAAGGGGGUUCCAGCAAGAGAUGGCGGUGGAGCUCUAUGAACAAACUCAUCCAGGCUACACUAGGCAAGGAGCAAAUUUGGAAUCUAUGGCAGCAGAGAAACAUGGCGGUCAGAGAACGGAGAUAGAAGCUGGUCGGGGAACUCGGGGAUCAUGCUCCAAGUAUUGCGGAUGAAAUCGACAGAGUAAAGGCGAUCACAGCGGAGGUGGCCAGGAGAUUUCCAUCGCAACAGCGGCAUCCUUCAGAAGGCUUGACAGAAGUUAUAGAACCAGAACACGACGGAACUCCAUGCGCAACCUCAAGGUAUCCUCACCAAGCACGGAGCAGCACCUAGGAACGUUCAAGGAAGAAGAAGAAUCGGGUCGAAAUUUGGGCUGGAGAUGUUUCGGGUUGCUGAGUUGGGUUUUAUCAAACAAGCUUAUUUACGUGUGUAUUACCUAAUUGGCCGUGAUUAACAAUUUCAAAACAAAACUCAAUAGAACUUCACAUGUCCACGUGUCAGUCAUGGAUUGAUUCAAUGAAGUUAGUCAUUGUAGCCACCAAACAUUCAUGGCCACCAUAGACUACACCUAAUUAUUAUAGACUACAGAGAGGGUAAUAUUUGCAUUGUAGAGUUUAUACUUUAUACCAUGUUUACUGUGCUAAGAUCUUAUUCAGAGUGAGGUUAGUAUUUGUUAUGCUGUUCAAACAUUUUCGAUUAUGCCAAGCUUAUUCCUUGUUGUGCAUAUUAAUUACCUUGACUUUUAUUCCAUUGCUUUACUUUCAGUUUUCUCCUUCUAAUAUAUACCAUAUUUCCUCUUAUUUUUGUAUGAACAGCAUGCAUAUACUAUGUAGUGUACUGUUCUCAUAAUAAAUUAUAUUUAGGUUGAUUGUAGAUAAUUCAGGUUAUAAUUAGUUGGAUAGUUGUUCUUUGUCUCGGGCAAUAUCUCUUUUGAUUCAACAUUGGUGAGUGAAACUAUAUCCUAAAUUAGGAACUGAGAGGAUAAAAUUGAGUUAGAUGGAGAAGUAAUUGAAUUGAGUUACUGCGGCUCGUAGGGGUUCUAUUCCCUGGUGGCAAUUAGUUUCCUACUUGUAUUAUGUAGUGUUAAUUGCUACUGUUCUCUCUUCCAUUAUAUUCAACUUGAAUUUCUCAAUUUAGAUAUCUGAAUUAUGUACUAUUUUUUUAAAAUAUUUUAUACUAUGUGAACCAUUAUUUAUUAUUUUGCUGUGUUCAAUUUCUUUUGCUAUUCACUGCAGCUUGUGAAAGUUUCCAAAGAAAGCAGUUAUAGUUCAGAUGACAGUGAUGAGGAAGAAGAAAAACCUUCUAAAACUCCUCAGAAAAGUGAUGUCAAGAUGGUUGAUGCUGUCUCAGCAAAGAAAGUUUCUAAAACCCCUUAUACACCUAGUGCUGCAAACAGGUGGAUCAAAGACACUAUUUGUUGGAAACCUGUCAUUUAGUUUGCAAUGAUCUGACUUUGAGGAGUUUUUCAAAGAUUGUGGAGAAGUUGUUGAUGUUCGUUUUUCUGUUGACGAUACUGGGAGGUUUAAACGCUUUGGACAUGUUGAGUUUGCUAUUGCAGAGGCAGCACAAAGUUAUUUAACAGGUUAUCACUGCUACUAGAACCAUAAAACAUCAUCAAGAAAGCCGAAGCAAUGGGGAAGCCCGAAAAUCCUGAAGAAGCUACUGUGGAAACUACCAGAGCAUAAAAGCUUCUCAGUUGUUGCUAAAUGCCAUUGAAAUCCUGAAGAAGAAUCUGGAUGUUGUACGUCUCUGAGCACAUAGUGGAGGCUGAUGAUUAGUUUGGUGAAUUGGGUGCACAUAUGUGAGGAGGUUGAUCAAACUUAUUGUUAGAUAGGAUGGCAAAGUUAUUGGAAUUGUAACUCGUAUUAGGAAUACAUUGCUUAGUUGUUAUCACUUUGGUUUUUGAUAUUUUGUUAUACUGUCAUGUGAUUAAACAUUUCUUUUGGUGACAAGUUUAUGUAUGUAGGAUUAGUGGAUUUAAAAA